UUCCAAGGAUGGGAAUCGAACCCACAAUGUUCCGCUUACCGGGCAGGUGCCAUGUCCACUAGGCUACCCUGGGA